rnacentral:rRNA from 1 species
UACAGAGGUGGCAAGCGUUGUUCGGAAUUACUGGGCGUAAAGGGCGCGUAGGCGGUUCGAUAAGUCCCGUGUGAAAUCCCUCGGCUCAACUGAGGAACUGCACGGGAAACUGACGGGCUUGAGUUCGGGAGAGGGAAGCGGAAUUCCGGGUGUAGCGGUGAAAUGCGUAGAUAUCCGGAGGAACACCGGUGGCGAAGGCGGCUUGCUGGGCCGGACCUGACGCUGAGACGCGAAGGCGUGGGGAGCGAACGGG